rnacentral:lncRNA from 7 species
GUGGAAGUUGUAUUAAGGCUGUCUGCUUAUGUCACUAAUGCUGAAGCUUGAUGUGCUGUUUAGAGACUCUCAAUUUUACUUGCUACUCUGCUUUUGAAGAACUGGCUGGUAGAGCCCUGGAAUUGGGAAUUAAUAUUUCAGAUAAAUAUCAUUCCAACUCCAGAUGCAAGCCAGUUUGCAAGCAAAUUUGAUGUUAAAUGGGAUUGUGCACUGCAAAACAGCCUGUGAAACGUCUGUGGUUAUAAAAGCAAGGUGCUUCAUUUCAUCUGAAGGAAUUGGAAGAAAAUGGAAAUUCUGAAGAGUGGCGCACUGAAUGUUCUCCAGCAUUUCUCUCCUCCGGUUCUGGGAGAGGAAAUUCUGCAAACCAAAUGUGAACUCAGGAAAGGGAGGUCCUAGCAAACUUGCUGUGCCAAAGGCAAACACAAAAGGCUCACCUCUGCAGUUGUGCCCGACUGAGCAGUGCCAGCAAAUAGGGGAGUGCGGUGCCAGACUCAUACAGAGUGGUACGGGGUCAAGGCAAGUGCACCGACCAAAAUAGCAGCAACCACAUCAUCAGCCAGUGUUACCUGGGUGUCUCCCCUGGGGCAACACCAGCCCACGUGGAGAGGAGGAUGUGAGCAUGGUGGGGUCAGCUCUCCACACUGCAUCUGUUCUCCUGGGAGGACAUGAGCAUCUCAUUGUCACUGGGAGGAGCCAGCAUUUCCAAGCAGAGCAGGGACUCCCUGCGGUAUGGUAAAAUGCUUUGGAUUGUCUCGAAGAAGUAGCAGCUAGUGCAUUUAAGAUUAACGUGACAAACUCGACUCACAGUUUUCUCAGGGUUACACUGAGGAUAGUAAAAAUGCUCAAAGUAAUCUAUGAAGUAAAACAGCCCCACAUCUUAGAAGCGAUCUUUUAAAAGCCCAGUGACGUUACCAUCACAGCACAGCAAUGUGUCUGACUAGAGGGGAAGAAAUACAGCAGGGCAACAAAUGAGGGAGGGGAAUCACUGCUGUACAUCAUGGAGAUCCAGGGUAAAAUCCUGAAGGUCAGUUUUGCUGCCGACUUGAAUUGUUCAAAAAAUUCAAAGAGCAAAAGUAAAUGAAU